CGGCAACAGCUCAAAUUUGAAAUCUGGCCUCGGCCCGAGUUGUAAUUUGUAGAGGGCGCUUCUGGCGCGGCAUCGACUGAGUCCCCUGGAACGGGGCGCCAAAGAGGGUGAGAGCCCCGUAGAGUCGGCUGCUAAGCCUGUGCGAAGCCCCUUCGACGAGUCGAGUAGUUUGGGAAUGCUGCUCAAAAUGGGAGGUAAAUUCCUUCUAAAGCUAAAUACCGGCCAGAGACCGAUAGCGCACAAGUAGAGUGAUCGAAAGAUGAAAAGCACUUUGAAAAGAGGGUUAAACAGCACGUGAAAUUGUUGAAAGGGAAGCGCUUGUGGCCAGACUUGCGCCGCGCUGAUCAUCCGGUGUUCUCACCGGUGCACUCGGCGCGGCUCAGGCCAGCAUCGGUUUUCGCGGGGGGAUAAAGGCGCCGGGAACGUAGCUCCUCCGGGAGUGUUAUAGCCCGGCGUGCCAUGCCCCCGCGGGGACCGAGGUCCGCGCGUAUGCAAGGAUGCUGGCGUAAUGGCCAUCAGCGACCCGUCUUGAAACACGGACCAAGGAGUCAAGGUUUUGCGCGAGUGUUUGGGUGUUAAACCCGCACGCGUAAUGAAAGUGAACGUAGGUGAGAGCUUCGGCGCAUCAUCGACCGAUCCUGAUGUAUUCGGAUGGAUUUGAGUAGGAGCGUUAAGCCUUGGACCCGAAAGAUGGUGAACUAUGCUUGGAUAGGGUGAAGCCAGAGGAAACUCUGGUGGAGGCUCGCAGCGGUUCUGACGUGCAAAUCGAUCGUCAAAUCUGAGCAUGGGGGCGAAAGACUAAU
rnacentral:rRNA from 1 species